rnacentral:rRNA from 1 species
AGUGAACGCUGGCGGUAGGCCUAACACAUGCAAGUCGAACGGCAGCACAGGAGAGCUUGCUCUCUGGGUGGCGAGUGGCGGACGGGUGAGGAAUACAUCGGAAUCUACUCUGUCGUGGGGGAUAACGGAGGGAAACUUACGCUAAUACCGCAUACGACCUACGGGUGAAAGCCGGGGACCUUCGGGCCUUGCGCGAUUGAAUGAGCCGAUGUGGGAUUAGCUAGUUGGCGGGGUAAAGGCCCACCAAGGCGACGUUUCGUGGCUGGUCUGAGAGGAGGAUCAGCGACACUGGAGCUGAAACACGGUCCAGACGCCUACGGGGGGCAGCAGUGGGGAAUAUUGGACAAUGGGCGCAAGCCUGAUCCAGCCAUACCGCGUGGGUGAAGAAGGCCUUCGGGUUGUAAAGCCCUUUUGUUGGGAAAGAAAUCCAGCUGGCUAAUACCCGGUUGGGAUGACGGUACCCAAAGAAUAAGCACCGGCUAACUUCGUGCCAGCCGCCGCCGUAA